rnacentral:rRNA from 1 species
ACACAUGCAAGUCGAGCGGAUGAAGGGAGCUUGCUCCUGGAUUCAGCGGCGGACGGGUGAGUAAUGCCUAGGAAUCUGCCUGGUAGUGGGGGAUAACGUCCGGAAACGGGCGCUAAUACCGCAUACGUCCUGAGGGAGAAAGUGGGGGAUCUUCGGACCUCACGCUAUCAGAUGAGCCUAGGUCGGAUUAGCUAGUUGGUGGGGUAAAGGCCUACCAAGGCGACGAUCCGUAACUGGUCUGAGAGGAUGAUCAGUCACACUGGAACUGAGACACGGUCCAGACUCCUACGGGAGGCAGCAGUGGGGAAUAUUGGACAAUGGGCGAAAGCCUGAUCCAGCCAUGCCGCGUGUGUGAAGAAGGUCUUCGGAUUGUAAAGCACUUUAAGUUGGGAGGAAGGGCAGUAAGUUAAUACCUUGCUGUUUUGACGUUACCAACAGAAUAAGCACCGGCUAACUUCGUGCCAGCAGCCGCGGUAAUACGAAGGGUGCAAGCGUUAAUCGGAAUUACUGGGCGUAAAGCGCGCGUAGGUGGUUCAGCAAGUUGGAUGUGAAAUCCCCGGGCUCAACCUGGGAACUGCAUCCAAAACUACUGAGCUAGAGUACGGUAGAGGGUGGUGGAAUUUCCUGUGUAGCGGUGAAAUGCGUAGAUAUAGGAAGGAACACCAGUGGCGAAGGCGACCACCUGGACUGAUACUGACACUGAGGUGCGAAAGCGUGGGGAGCAAACAGGAUUAGAUACCCUGGUAGUCCACGCCGUAAACGAUGUCGACUAGCCGUUGGGAUCCUUGAGAUCUUAGUGGCGCAGCUAACGCGAUAAGUCGACCGCCUGGGGAG